rnacentral:rRNA from 1 species
UACGGAGGGGGCUAGCGUUGUUCGGAGUUACUGGGCGUAAAGGGCGCGUAGGCGGCGCAUCAAGUCAGGCGUGAAAGCCCUGGGCUCAACCCGGGAAUUGCGCUUGAGACUGGUGUGCUUGAGUACGGGAGAGGAUAGUGGAAUUCCCAGUGUAGAGGUGAAAUUCGUAGAUAUUGGGAAGAACACCAGUGGCGAAGGCGGCUAUCUGGACCGUAACUGACGCUGAGGCGCGAAAGCGUGGGGAGCAAACAGG